GAUGAACGCUAGCGGGAAGGCUUAACACAUGCAAGUCGAGGGGCAGCAUAGGGUAGCAAUACUCUGAUGGCGACCGGCAAACGGGUGAGUAACGCGUAUGCAACCUACCCUGUACAGGGGGAUAACCCGGAGAAAUUCGGACUAAUAUCCCGUAAUAAUAUCCGGAGGCAUCUUUGGAUAUUAAAGUUCCGACGGUACGGGAUGGGCAUGCGUAACAUUAGCUGGUUGGUAAGGUAACGGCUUACCAAGGCUAUGAUGUUUAGGGGUCCUGAGAGGGUGGUCCCCCACACUGGUACUGAGACACGGACCAGACUCCUACGGGAGGCAGCAGUGAGGAAUAUUGGUCAAUGGGCGCAAGCCUGAACCAGCCAUCCCGCGUGCAGGAAGACGGCCCUAUGGGUUGUAAACUGCUUUUCCAGGGAGAGAAACUUACGCACGUGUUGCGUGACUGACGGUACCCUGGGAAUAAGCAUCGGCUAACUCCGUG
rnacentral:rRNA from 1 species